CUCAUAUAUUUCAAUUCCUUUCAGGUACUCCGCUUGAUUUAGAAACUGCAACACCGUACAAAAGAGUAGUUAAGGACAACAAUAAUUGGUUAUCAUAAAUUACUUAACUAGGAUAAUUAGAAAAAUAAACAAAGGAGAAAAGUAAGCAAUAAGAUAAAUAACAUGAAGCUCUGGUGGUUGUUUUUUUCUUGGAGAUCAAUGUAAGAGUAUGAAUGUCUUGAAGAAAAUAAA